rnacentral:rRNA from 1 species
CACUAUCGUUAACUGAAUACAUAGGUUAACGAGGCGAACCGGGGGAACUGAAACAUCUAAGUACCCCGAGGAAAAGAAAUCAACCGAGAUUCCCCCAGUAGCGGCGAGCGAACGGGGAGCAGCCCAGAGUCUGAAUCAGCUUGUGUGUUAGUGGAACGGUCUGGAAAGUCCGACGGUACAGGGUGAUAGUCCCGUACACCAAAAUGCACAGGUUGUGAACUCGAAGAGUAGGGCGGGACACGUGGUAUCCUGUCUGAAUAUGGGGGGACCAUCCUCCAAGGCUAAAUACUCCUGACUGACCGAUAGUGAACCAGUACCGUGAGGGAAAGGCGAAAAGAACCCCGGCGAGGGGAGUGAAAAAGAACCUGAAACCGUGUACGUACAAGCAGUGGGAGCACCUUCGGGUGUGACUGCGUACCUUUUGUAUAAUGGGUCAGCGACUUAUAUUCUGUAGCAAGGUUAACCGUAUAGGGGAGCCGCAGGGAAACCGAGUCUUAACUGGGCGUUAAGUUGCAGGGUAUAGACCCGAAACCCGGUGAUCUAGCCAUGGGCAGGUUGAAGGUUGGGUAACACUAACUGGAGGACCGAACCGACUAAUGUUGAAAAAUUAGCGGAUGACUUGUGGCUGGGGGUGAAAGGCCAAUCAAACCGGGAGAUAGCUGGUUCUCCCCGAAAGCUAUUUAGGUAGCGCCUCGUGAACUCAUCUUCGGGGGUAGAGCACUGUUUCGGCUAGGGGGUCAUCCCGACUUACCAACCCGAUGCAAACUACGAAUACCGAAGAAUGUUAUCACGGGAGACACACGGCGGGUGCUAACGUCCGUCGUGAAGAGGGAAACAACCCAGACCGCCAGCUAAGGUCCCAAAGUCAUGGUUAAGUGGGAAACGAUGUGGGAAGGCACAGACAGCCAGGAUGUUGGCUUAGAAGCAGCCAUCAUUUAAAGAAAGCGUAAUAGCUCACUGGUCGAGUCGGCCUGCGCGGAAGAUGUAACGGGGCUAAACCAUGCACCGAAGCUGCGGCAGCGACACUAUGUGUUGUUGGGUAGGGGAGCGUUCUGUAAGCCUGCGAAGGUGUGCUGUGAGGCAUGCUGGAGGUAUCAGAAGUGCGAAUGCUGACAUAAGUAACGAUAAAGCGGGUGAAAAGCCCGCUCGCCGGAAGACCAAGGGUUCCUGUCCAACGUUAAUCGGGGCAGGGUGAGUCGACCCCUAAGGCGAGGCCGAAAGGCGUAGUCGAUGGGAAACAGGUUAAUAUUCCUGUACUUGGUGUUACUGCGAAGGGGGGACGGAGAAGGCUAUGUUAGCCGGGCGACGGUUGUCCCGGUUUAAGCAUGUAGGCUGAUUAUCCAGGCAAAUCCGGAUAAUCAAGGCUGAGGUGUGAUGACGAGGCACUACGGUGCUGAAGUAACAAAUGCCCUGCUUCCAGGAAAAGCCUCUAAGCAUCAGGUAACAUUAAAUCGUACCCCAAACCGACACAGGUGGUCAGGUAGAGAAUACCAAGGCGCUUGAGAGAACUCGGGUGAAGGAACUAGGCAAAAUGGUGCCGUAACUUCGGGAGAAGGCACGCUGGUGUGUAGGUGAAGUCCCUGCGGAUGGAGCUGAGACCAGUCGAAGAUACCAGCUGGCUGCAACUGUUUAUUAAAAACACAGCACUGUGCAAACACGAAAGUGGACGUAUACGGUGUGACGCCUGCCCGGUGCCGGAAGGUUAAUUGAUGGGGUUAUCCGUAAGGAGAAGCUCUUGAUCGAAGCCCCGGUAAACGGCGGCCGUAACUAUAACGGUCCUAAGGUAGCGAAAUUCCUUGUCGGGUAAGUUCCGACCUGCACGAAUGGCGUAAUGAUGGCCAGGCUGUCUCCACCCGAGACUCAGUGAAAUUGAACUCGCUGUGAAGAUGCAGUGUACCCGCGGCAAGACGGAAAGACCCCGUGAACCUUUACUAUAGCUUGACACUGAACAUUGAGCCUUGAUGUGUAGGAUAGGUGGGAGGCUUUGAAGCGUGGACGCCAGUCUGCGUGGAGCCAACCUUGAAAUACCACCCUUUAAUGUUUGAUGUUCUAACGUUGGCCCCUUACCGGGGUUGCGGACAGUGUCUGGUGGGUAGUUUGACUGGGGCGGUCUCCUCCCAAAGCGUAACGGAGGAGCACGAAGGUUAGCUAAUCCUGGUCGGACAUCAGGAGGUUAGUGCAAUGGCAUAAGCUAGCUUGACUGCGAGCGUGACGGCGCGAGCAGGUGCGAAAGCAGGUCAUAGUGAUCCGGUGGUUCUGAAUGGAAGGGCCAUCGCUCAACGGAUAAAAGGUACUCCGGGGAUAACAGGCUGAUACCGCCCAAGAGUUCAUAUCGACGGCGGUGUUUGGCACCUCGAUGUCGGCUCAUCACAUCCUGGGGCUGAAGUAGGUCCCAAGGGUAUGGCUGUUCGCCAUUUAAAGUGGUACGCGAGCUGGGUUUAGAACGUCGUGAGACAGUUCGGUCCCUAUCUGCCGUGGGCGCUGGAGAAUUGAGGGGGGCUGCUCCUAGUACGAGAGGACCGGAGUGGACGCAUCACUGGUGUUCGGGUUGUCAUGCCAAUGGCACUGCCCGGUAGCUAAAUGCGGAAGAGAUAAGUGCUGAAAGCAUCUAAGCACGAAACUUGCCCCGAGAUGAGUUCUCCCUGAGACUUUAAGUCUCCUGAAGGAACGUUAAAGACGAUGACGUUGAUAGGCCGGGUGUGUAAGCGCAGCGAUGCGUUGAGCUAACCGGUACUAAUGAACCGUGAGGCUUAACCUUACAACGCCGAAG